rnacentral:misc_RNA from 1 species
CCACAGCCCCGAUAGUAGCGGAAAUCCUUUUGCUUUUUUCUUUAAAAAGCAAAAGAUUACUUCGUCAGUUCGCUAUCGCUCGUGUGAAGCGGAUAGCGGGAAACUGC